rnacentral:lncRNA from 1 species
AUGAUGAGAUCCCUCCUGUACCUGUUCUUCCUAAUGACGAUCAAGUCCUUGAGGAGCUUUAAUGUUGACACUGGCAAGAAGUGGAUCACACCACACACAGCCUCUCUGUUGUGGCCCGUAGUUCUUCAGCACUCGGAUGGGAAUAUGACUGUGAUUUUGGCUACUUCCUCAGUAGACAAGGGGCUGGGCAGGCUGAGUAAGUGCACUGUUUUGCAGGAAGAGAUCCAGUGCCAGGAAAUACCUUUGAGAGGAAACAUUAAAGGCUCCAAAAACAUCCAGGAUGGUGGCAUAGCUAUUGACAGGAAUGCAGACUGGAUCCUGGUAAGGGACUGAGAACAUCCUUGACUGGGAAUGACUGGAUUUUUGC